ensembl:snoRNA
UUUCCCACUUAUUUGCUGCUGUAAUCCUUUGGUGAUAUGAGCAGCUGUAAGCAUGGGAUAAAGUAAUAUUGAGACAUGGUAAAUUGAGGUGAAAUGCAUUUCAUCUUUUUGCGUGGUCUAGACAUUG